rnacentral:lncRNA from 1 species
CUUUCUUCACUUGCCAUUAGAUCUUCAGUCACCCAGUCCUCCUCUCACCUCACUGGCCACAAUUUUGCAGCCUCCUUUCCUGUCUCCUCAUCUCCACAACCUGUAAAUCCUGGAGGGCCCCCAAAGCCCAGUCCUUGGUCCCUUUCUCCUCUCCAUCCACACUCACUUCCUAGGCGAUCUCAUCCUGGAGGUGGAAUAUUUUCUGUAAAUGCUCUCUCCAGGCUGACAACCCCGACACUGAUUUUUC